rnacentral:rRNA from 1 species
GAUGAACGCUGGCGGCGUGCUUAACACAUGCAAGUCGAACGGGAAUUAUUUUAUUGAAACUUCGGUCGAUUUAAUUUAAUUCUAGUGGCGGACGGGUGAGUAACGCGUGGGUAACCUGCCUUAUACAGGGGGAUAACAGUCAGAAAUGGCUGCUAAUACCGCAUAAGCGCACAGAGCUGCAUGGCUCAGUGUGAAAAACUCCGGUGGUAUAAGAUGGACCCGCGUUGGAUUAGCUGGUUGGUGGGGUAACGGCCCACCAAGGCGACGAUCCAUAGCCGGCCUGAGAGGGUGAACGGCAACAUUGGGACUGAGACACGGCCCAGACUCCUACGGGAGGCAGCAGUGGGGAAUAUUGCACAAUGGGGGAAACCCUGAUGCAGCGACGCCGCGUGAAGGAAGAAGUAUCUCGGUAUGUAAACUUCUAUCAGCAGGGAAGAUAGUGACGGUACCUGACGAAGAAGCCCCGGCUAACUACGUG